UCUGAAGUAUCUCAGGGUGGUAACAUUUCUGCAGGGACCUUGGCAACUCAAAGCUAUCUGGUCAUUUGGUACCUGAACUUGGAAAGCUCGAACAUCUACAGUAUUUGGAGCUUUACAAAAAUAAUAUUCAGGGAACCAUCCCUAAAGAGCUUGGUAACUUGAAGAGCCUUAUCAGUCUGGAUCUGUACAA